UACGUAGGGGGGCGAGCGUUGUCCGGAGUUACUGGGCGUAAAGCGCACGCAGGCGGUCUGCUAAGUUUGGAGUGACAGUUGGUGGCUUAACUGCCAAAGUGCUUCGAAAACUGACAGACUUGAGGGCUUCAGAGGGACACGGAAUUCCGGGUGGAGUGGUGAAAUGCGUAGAGAUCCGGAGGAACACCAAAGGCGAAGGCAGUGUCCUGGGGAGUACCUGACGCUCGAGGUGCGAAAGCCAGGGGAGCGAACGGGG
rnacentral:rRNA from 1 species